CUGCAUACAGCCCCACUUCGCCUGCCUACAGCCCCACUUCGCCUGCCUACAGCCCCACUUCUCCAUCUUACAGCCCCACUUCGCCAUCUUACAGCCCCACCUCACCUUCUUACAGCCCCACCUCGCCUUCAUAUAGCCCCACCUCACCAAGUUAUAGUCCAACUUCUCCAUCAUAUAGUCCCACUUCUCCUGCAUACAGUCCUACCUCCCCUGGUUACAGCCCAACAUCUCCCAGUUACAGCCCAACAUCACCAUCAUAUAGUCCUACAUCACCAAGUUACAAUCCCUCGG
rnacentral:lncRNA from 1 species